UGGGGAAUAUUGCACAAUGGGCGCAAGCCUGAUGCAGCCAUGCCGCGUGUGUGAAGAAGGCCUUCGGGUUGUAAAGCACUUUCAGCGAGGAGGAAGGGGUUGAGUUUAAUACGCUCAAUCAUUGACGUUACUCGCAGAAGAAGCACCGGCUAACUCCGUGCCAGCAGCCGCGGUAAGACGGAGGGUGCAAGCGUUAAUCGGAAUUACUGGGCGUAAAGCGCACGCAGGCGGUUUGUUAAGUCAGAUGUGAAAUCCCCGCGCUUAACGUGGGAACUGCAUUUGAAACUGGCAAGCUAGAGUCUUGUAGAGGGGGGUAGAAUUCCAGGUGUAGCGGUGAAAUGCGUAGAGAUCUGGAGGAAUACCGGUGGCGAAGGCGGCCCCCUGGACAAAGACUGACGCUCAGGUGCGAAAGCGUGGGGAGCAAACA
rnacentral:rRNA from 1 species